rnacentral:rRNA from 1 species
UACAGAGGUGGCAAGCGUUGUUCGGAAUUACUGGGCGUAAAGGGCGCGUAGGCGGCUCGACAAGUCCCGCGUGAAAGCCCCCGGCUCAACUGGGGAACUGCGCGGGAAACUGUCGGACUUGAGUUCGGGAGAGGGAAGCGGAAUUCCGGGUGUAGCGGUGAAAUGCGUAGAUAUCCGGAGGAACACCGGUGGCGAAGGCGGCGUUCUGGACUGCACCUGACGCUGAAACGCGAAAGCUAGGGGAGCGAACAGG